rnacentral:rRNA from 1 species
AUUGAACGCUGGCGGCAUGCUUUACACAUGCAAGUCGAACGGCAGCGCGGGCUUCGGCCUGGCGGCGAGUGGCGAACGGGUGAGUAAUGCAUCGGAACGUGCCCAGUCGUGGGGGAUAGCCCGGCGAAAGCCGGAUUAAUACCGCAUACGACCUGAGGGUGAAAGCGGGGGACCGAAAGGCCUCGCGCUAUUGGAGCGGCCGAUGUCGGAUUAGCUAGUUGGUGGGGUAAAGGCUUACCAAGGCGACGAUCCGUAGCUGGUCUGAGGGGACGACCAGCCACACUGGAACUGAGACACGGCCAGACUCCUACGGGAGGCAGCAGUGGGGAAUUUUGGACAAAGGGGGCAACCCUGAUCCAGCCAUGCCGCGUGCGGGAAGAAGGCCUUCGGGUUGUAAACCGCUUUUGUUCGGGAAGAAAUCCUCUGGGCUAAUACCCCGGGGGGAUGACGGUACCGGAAGAAUAAGCACCGGCUAACUACGUG